UUGGAGGGCAAGUCUGGUGCCAGCAGCCGCGGUAAUUCCAGCUCCAAUAGCGUAUAUUAAAGUUGUUGCAGUUAAAAAGCUCGUAGUUGAACUUCGGGGUUUACCCAUUGGUCAGGCUUAAUUGUCUGCACUGGUGAGAUGAAUCUCUACCUUCUGAGGAACUUUCAUGCCAUUUAUUUGGUGUGAUGGGAAAUCAGGACUGUUACUUUGAAAAAAUUAGAGUGUUUAAAGCAGGCUAACGUCUGAAUACAUUAGCAUGGAAUAAUGAAAUAGGACGGACUGAUUCUAUUUCGUUGGUUUCUAGGAUCACCGUAAUGAUUAAUAGGGAUAGUUGGGGGCAUUAGUAUUCAAUUGUCAGAGGUGAAAUUCUUGGAUUUAUUGAAGACUAACUACUGCGAAAGCAUUUGCCAAGGAUGUUUUCAUUAAUCAAGAACGAAAGUUAGGGGAUCGAAGACGAUCAGAUACCGUCGUAGUCUUAACCAUAAACUAUGCCGACUAGGGAUCGGACGAAGUUAAUUUUAUAAUGACGCGUUCGGCGCCUACGGGAAAC
rnacentral:rRNA from 1 species